UACGUAGGGGGCAAGCGUUGUCCGGAUUAUUGGGCGUAAAGAGCGUGUAGGCGGUUUGGUAGGUCCGCUGUGAAAACUCGAGCUCAACCUCGAGACGCCGGUGGAAACCAUCAGACUAGAGUCCGGAAGAGGAGAGUGGAAUUCCUGGUGUAGCGGUGAAAUGCGCAGAUAUCAGAAGAACACCGAUGGCGAAGGCAAUCCCCUGGGCCUGCACUGACGCUCAUGCACGAAAGCGUGGGGAGCAAACAGG
rnacentral:rRNA from 1 species